GAAGGACGUUAUAAGUGCAGAAUCUCUGGAGAAGGAGAAACUCCAGAAAGCUGGCUGAUUGUUUCCAAACAAGAAAAAGGCUUAUCCCAGCUGACCCGCGGAAGCCAAGGCUGGACCACAAGACCCUCGCCGGAGAGCUCCCCCACAGGCUCAACGGCAGGUCAUUUCUCUACAACAAUCAUCCGGCUGUGUGUUACAUUAGUGGUUCUGCCGUUGAUGGUUAUUGGAUAGGUUCACUACAGGAAACACAAAGGUAAAGCUAACUUUCUUCUAAGGAAUGGAUCAAUAAUUAAAA